rnacentral:rRNA from 1 species
GUGGACGCCAGUCUGCACGGAGCCAUCCUUGAAAUACCACCCUUUAACGUUUGAUGUUCUAACCCAGACCCGUAAUCCGGGUCGGGGACCGUGUCUGGUGGGUAGUUUGACUGGGGCGGUCUCCUCCCAAAGAGUAACGGAGGAGCACGAAGGUUGGCUAAGCAUGGUCGGACAUCAUGCGGUUAGUGCAAAGGCAUAAGCCAGCUUGACUGCGAGAGUGACGGCUCGAGCAGGUACGAAAGUAGGUCUUAGUGAUCCGGUGGUUCUGAAUGGAAGGGCCAUCGCUCAACGGAUAAAAGGUACUCCGGGGAUAACAGGCUGAUACCGCCCAAGAGUUCAUAUCGACGGCGGUGUUUGGCACCUCGAUGUCGGCUCAUCACAUCCUGGGGCUGAAGUAGGUCCCAAGGGUAUGGCUGUUCGCCAUUUAAAGUGGUACGCGAGCUGGGUUUAGAACGUCGUGAGACAGUUCGGUCCCUAUCUGCCGUGGGCGCUGGAAGAUUGAGAGGGGUUGCUCCUAGUACGAGAGGACCGGAGUGAACGCACCACUGGUGUACGGGUUGUGAUGCCAAUUGCAUUGCCCGGUAGCUAAGUGCGGAAGAGAUAACCGCUGAAAGCAUCUAAGCGGGAAACUUGCCUCGAGAUGAGUCUUCCCUGACCCUUUAAGGGUCCUGAAGGAACGUUUGAGACUAAGACGUUGAUAGGCUGGGUGUGUAAGUGCAGCGAUGUAUUGAGCUAACCAGUACUAAUGAACCGAGAGGCUUAACCUG